GGGCGGGCGACGCCGAGCGCCAGACUCCGGGUAGCCUCCGGCGCGCGCGCCCGUCCCCUCGGGCUCCGGGGAAACUUCGGGGCUGGAGGGUGGGGAAAGCCGGCUGGCUCCAUCAGCAGCGUGGUUCCCAGACCGAAGAAGGGGUUGCAGAUCUUUCAUAUUGGAGCAUAUUUAUUUCCCGCAUUAUUUCCGAUUUGUGUUACUCCAUGGUAUGUGAAAUGAGAAACUAUCUCCUUCCAAAAACUCAGGAAAAGCUGGCAGCCCUGUUGUGAGCUGCCCUAUGGAAAGGUCCAUGAGAUACGGCGAGGGACUGAGGCUCUCGGACCCACAGCCCACAAGGGACUGAAGCUUUUCCAACAACCAUGAGGAGCUUGGAAAUGAAUCCAGUGUUGAGAAUUGACAGCCUGAUUGUGACCUAUGAGGACUUCGGAGCAAAAGGCACCCAGUAAAAUCCUACCCAGACUCCUGACCUGCAGAACCUGUGAGAUAAUCAGUUUGUUCUGUGAAUACCUAGGAUCUUGCCAUCAGAGCAAAUGCCUUAACUAAUAUUACUGCAUGAAUCUGGAGACCAAGGUACUCAGAAGACAUCUGUUGAAUGGAGAAGGGGAAGGAGAAGAAAGGGAAGGAUGAAGCAGGGGGAAGAGGAUGGGAAGGAGUUAACAGGCUGUGAGAGG